rnacentral:lncRNA from 1 species
AGCCCAGAAUACCAAGCUUGAGCAGCUUUCCGAAUAGUCAUCGGGAAGCCGAUGCAUAAAAGGAUGUCAGUUGCCUCCUGGAUCAUCAUAAGAGCCUUAUAGCUCUCCAAAUGGUCAAUUAGAUCGGUGGAGCCAUCGUAUGGCUCCAUCUGUGGUAUUUUGAAUCGAGACAGAAUCGGUUCAUCUAAGAUGCGCUGAGAGAGAGGUUGAGC